CGGCUGAGCUCAUCAGACUCCGGGGUGAAAAUUAACACCUGUUCACCGGUGCCAAGAACUCAGCCGCUGCAGGUUGGAGGGCAAUCCUGGAGCAGAUGGGCCUGGCGGGCCAAAUCACCCCGUUGCAGGCGGAAAAAAAAUGGGACAACCUAAAGAAAAAAUACAAACAUUGCAAGUAUCCCGCAUCAGGUGAGGGGGUGAGUGGGAAUAUCACUGCUGCCACUUGGCCCUG